AUUGAACGCUGGCGGAAUGCUUUACACAUGCAAGUCGAACGGCAGCACGGACUUCGGUCUGGUGGCGAGUGGCGAACGGGUGAGUAAUAUAUCGGAACGUGCCCAGUCGUGGGGGAUAACGUAGUGAAAAUUACGCUAAUACCGCAUACGAUCUAAGGAUGAAAGCGGGGGAUCGCAAGACCUCGCGCGAUUGGAGCGGCCGAUAUCAGAUUAGGUAGUUGGUAGGGUAAAGGCCUACCAAGCCAACGAUCUGUAGCUGGUCUGAGAGGACGACCAGCCACACUGGAACUGAGACACGGUCCAGACUCCUACGGGAGGCAGCAGUGGGGAAUUUUGGACAAUGGGCGAAAGCCUGAUCCAGCCAUUCCGCGUGCAGGAUGAAGGCCCUCGGGUUGUAAACUGCUUUUGUACAGAACGAAAAGGUCUCUAUUAAUACUAGGGGCUCAUGACGGUACUGUAAGAAUAAGCACCGGCUAACUACGUG
rnacentral:rRNA from 1 species